rnacentral:rRNA from 1 species
AUUGAACGCUGGCGGCAGGCCUAACACAUGCAAGUCGAGCGGAUGAAGGGAGCUUGCUCCUGGAUUCAGCGGCGGACGGGUGAGUAAUGCCUAGGAAUCUGCCUGGUAGUGGGGGAUAACGUCCGGAAACGGGCGCUAAUACCGCAUACGUCCUGAGGGAGAAAGUGGGGGAUCUUCGGACCUCACGCUAUCAGAUGAGCCUAGGUCGGAUUAGCUAGUUGGUGGGGUAAAGGCCUACCAAGGCGACGAUCCGUAACUGGUCUGAGAGGAUGAUCAGUCACACUGGAACUGAGACACGGUCCAGACUCCUACGGGAGGCAGCAGUGGGGAAUAUUGGACAAUGGGCGAAAGCCUGAUCCAGCCAUGCCGCGUGCGUGAAGAAGGUCUUCGGAUUGUAAAGCACUUUAAGUUGGGAGGAGGGGCAGUAAGUUAAUACCUUGCUGUUUUGACGUUACCAACAGAAUAAGCACCGGCUAACUUCGUG